rnacentral:rRNA from 1 species
AACGAACGCUGGCGGCAUGCCUAACACAUGCAAGUCGAACGAUGCUUUCGGGCAUAGUGGCGCACGGGUGCGUAACGCGUGGGAAUCUGCCCUUGGGUUCGGAAUAACAGUGAGAAAUUGCUGCUAAUACCGGAUGAUGUCUUCGGACCAAAGAUUUAUCGCCCAGGGAUGAGCCCGCGUAGGAUUAGCUAGUUGGUGGGGUAAUGGCCUACCAAGGCGACGAUCCUUAGCUGGUCUGAGAGGAUGAUCAGCCACACUGGGACUGAGACACGGCCCAGACUCCUACGGGAGGCAGCAGUGGGGAAUAUUGGACAGUGGGCGCAAGCCUGAUCCAGCAAUGCCGCGUGAGUGAUGAAGGCCUUAGGGUUGUAAAGCUCUUUUACCCGGGAUGAUAAUGACAGUACCGGGAGAAUAAGCUCCGGCUAACUCCGUG